GACGAACGGUGGCGGCGUGCUUAACACAUGCAAGUCGAACGGAAAGGCCCUGCUUUUGUGGGGUGCUCGAGUGGCGAACGGGUGAGUAACACGUGAGUAACCUGCCCUUGACUUUGGGAUAACUUCAGGAAACUGGGGCUAAUACCGGAUAGGAGCUCCUGCUGCAUGGUGGGGGUUGGAAAGUUUCGGCGGUUGGGGAUGGACCCGCGGCUUAUCAGCUUGUUGGUGGGGUAGUGGCUUACCAAGGCUUUGACGGGUAGCCGGCCUGAGAGGGUGACCGGCCACAUUGGGACUGAGAUACGGCCCAGACUCCUACGGGAGGCAGCAGUGGGGAAUAUUGCACAAUGGGCGGAAGCCUGAUGCAGCAACGCCGCGUGCGGGAUGACGGCCUUCGGGUUGUAAACCGCUUUCGCCUGUGACGAAGCGUGAGUGGCGGUAAUGGGUAAAGAAGCACCGGCUAACUACGUG
rnacentral:rRNA from 1 species